GAAAGUUUUAAAGUCUGCCUUUAGAGUGGAAUAAUAAAACCUACUUCCUAAGCCGAAAACGUGUAGGGAAAAGGGAAGGGAGGCCCCUGUCCCUUCCCAGCUCAGCCCAACCGGGCUUCCGCCAGGAGCUGAGUAACCACCUGUUGAUGGAUCCUCUCGGUGGCAAGAGCCCCUGAAGGAGCAUGAACAGACAGGUAAGUCAGAAACCAUCCGGGUUUUGCCCAGAAAUGCUCUUCUCUAAACGA
rnacentral:lncRNA from 1 species